CUAUGAUUAGUCGUGUCCACGCACGCACGCAUCCUCCUCUCUCGUCUGUUCGUUUUCCAAUUUGCAUCUCUCCUCUGGUCUCUUCAUUGUUCCUCGGUGUCUCGGCCGCCGCACACCAGCGGCAAGCAGGCCGGCGCACAUCAACAGCGGCGACAAUUGUACCCAGAAAUCUAAGGAAGAUGACACUACUCUAUUUCUAAUAUGUAAACAGGUGAUUUCAUAAUUUUAUUGAAUAGGUAUGUCUUGCACACUUCAGUUUAUAAUGCAACACAAUAUGUGAUUCGAUAUUUUUAUUUAGUAUGUUGUUUUUGGGUGCUACAGUUUUAUUGUAAGAUAAUUUAAAUUAGAUAAUACACUUCACAUAUUAGUAUCAAGUUCUCACAACGAGUCAUGGAGUGAACCCAAUGGCCAAAUUCCUGGCUCCGCCCCUGCAUGAUGCCACGUCUUGCAUGUGUUGACGAUUUUACUCGGUUUACUGCAAAUUAUCUGGACAUCUCUCUUCUAUUUGUUUUUUAUGAAAUCGGGUCCUAAUUAAUGUCCGAAUUAAGAAAAAAGAUAUGUAUAAUAGGCUGAAUCUUUUUCCAUGACGAUGUUUUCUUUCUCGGUGAUACAGGCGGUGAGGAGCAGGAAGAAGAAGACGGAGGGAGGGUCAGGUGGUAGAGGCGAGCCAUGGCAGAUUUCGGGCUGAGGAUCGAGUGCACAGAACCUACUGCUUGCUACUUCAACUGCGUGGCCGGCCAAGCAAACGGGAGAAGCAUAUAUGGACACCUGCAGAGCUGCGUGAGCCGCGUGAACAGCUGCAGAUAUACUGUUGGUUGUUGCCACUAUGGUUUCAGCCUUUCAGGGAGAUGCAAUAUUGGUGUUCUACCGUGA